rnacentral:rRNA from 1 species
AGAGUUUGAUCCUGGCUCAGGAUGAACGCUGGCGGCGUGCUUAACACAUGCAAGUCGAGCGAAGCACUUUGUUUUGAAUCUUCGGAGGAAGAACGAAGUGACUGAGCGGCGGACGGGUGAGUAACGCGUGGGCAACCUGCCUCAUACAGGGGGAUAACAGUUAGAAAUGACUGCUAAUACCGUAUAAGACCACGGUACUGCAUGGUACAGUGGUAAAAACUCCGGUGGUAUGAGAUGGGCCCGCGUCUGAUUACCGAGAUGGUGAGGUAACGGCUCAGCAAGGCAACGAUCAGUAGCCGACCUGAGAGGGUGACCGGCCACAUUGGGACUGAGACACGGACCAGACUCCUACGGGAGGCAACAGGGGGGAAUAUUGCACACUGGGGCACACCCUGAUGCGGCCACCCCGCGUGAGCGAUGAUCUAUUUCGGUAUGUAAGGCUCUAUCAGCACGGAAGAUAAUGACGGUACCUGACUAAUACGCCCCGGCUAGCUACGUGC